GAUAAUAUCCUAGCAAAACUUUAUAUAUAUAUAUAUAUAUAUAAAAUCGUGCCUCAUGAGAGAUUCUCUGGUAGACUGUGUCUACCAUGUGGACACGGACAAGGCCAAUGAACUGGCAGCCAUGUGCCUGGUAAUGGUAUAAAAGUAGAUUGGAAAAUGUGAGGUUCCCUCAACUCACUAUUUUGCAGGGAGGCUUUUGAUGGUCCUGUUUAGGAUCCAAGGAUGGUUGACAGUGUACUAAACCAGAAUUCUUGUCCCUGAGAACUUACCAGUUACCAUUGUGAUUUUCUGUAUGAUUCUAGAAAAAAGCUUUUGUAUCUUCAUAUAUAGGUCAUAUAUAGGCAUCUUUACUUUUGACAUUGUAGGUCCAAACUUUACCCGCUUUGCUUGACCAGAUUCUUCAUCACCAAAAGCUGUUGCUGGUACCCCCAUUAGUCCAUUACCUUGAAGAGGCUAUCUCUCUCUCAUGGGCCACCUCAGAGAGAAGUGGAGUGCUUUUUGUGUUGGGAGACAAAAAAAGGUUAAAGAUGGAGAUAUGUACAUCCUUAAAAAAUAUAUAUAAAAAAAAAAGAGAGUAAAUUUUCA